GGAAAUGACAGACUACCACACAGUAGAAGAAAGAGGGACAGAGCACCGGGAAAACAAGAGAAAUAACUCAUCCUAAUCCUUGUUCCACACCAAACCAGGAGGAACUGCUAAUUUCUGGUGUUAUGUGUUCUCAAUCGGUCAUCAAGGAGAGCUUAAAAAGGACUGGAGUCCCUGAGGAAGACGCCAGAGAAUUCUCCUCACAGUGUGUGCUGCACCUCCUCCUUAAACGUGUGUUCCUGGGAUGACUUACCCUCAUCAGACUCCAGAAGAACUUGCCUCUGGUUUAUCUCAGAUGAUCCUCCUCACCCCGUCUUCUCUGUUGCACAGAGAUGCACCUGUGAGAACACUCCACACUUACUCUGUCGCCUGCCUGUCCACCCUCCAAUGUCGGCAUGUCAUAAGAAACCUCCGUCACACACUGAGCACUCCUCGAACUGCCAACCUAGGCCAUCAUGGAUGCACUCACCCUCCUCGCCUACAGAUCCAACCACAGUCCACAAGAAUUCCCCGAAGCCUUGUGGCUUUUAAGAAAUCUCUUGAAAACAGUUCCGGUGCUUGCUCCAGGGUCUGGCUACAGUAACAUGAUGCUGAGAUGUUCUUUCAAGACUCCAUUUCAGGGGAACACCUCAUGAAGCUCAUGGAGAUAAUGGCAAGAGCCAAUCAGUAUUCAAAGCAAAAGGUGGCUUUUUAGAAGAAUCUAAAAUAUAGAAAUGUGUAGUUUUGUCACACUUUUUGUUUACUACAUAAUUCCAUGUGUGUUCUUUCAGUUUUGUUGCCUUUGGUGAGA